rnacentral:rRNA from 1 species
UACGUAGGGGGCAAGCGUUGUCCGGAAUCAUUGGGCGUAAAGAGCGUGUAGGCGGUCCGGUAAGUCGGCUGUGAAAGUCCAGGGCUCAACCCUGGGAUGCCGGUGGAUACUGUCGGGCUCGAGUCCGGAAGAGGCGAGUGGAAUUCCUGGUGUAGCGGUGAAAUGCGCAGAUAUCAGGAGGAACACCAAUGGCGAAGGCAGCUCGCUGGGACGUGACUGACGCUGAGACGCGAAGGCCGGGGGAGCAAACAGG